UACGUAGGUGGCAAGCGUUGUCCGGAUUUAUUGGGUUUAAAGGGUGCGUAGGCGGCUUAUUAAGUCAGUGGUGAAAUACUCUAGCUCAACUAGAGGGGUGCCAUUGAUACUGAUGAGCUUGAGUACAGAUGAGGUAGGCGGAAUUGACGGUGUAGCGGUGAAAUGCUUAGAUAUCGUCAAGAACACCUAUAGCGAAGGCAGCUUACUAAGCUGUAACUGACGCUGAGGCACGAAAGUGUGGGGAUCAAACAGG
rnacentral:rRNA from 1 species